AAUAUAUAACAAUGGGUGCCACCCUGAUCCAGCAAUGCCGCGUGUGUGAAGAAGGUCUUCGGUUUUUAAAGCCCUUUAAGUUGGGAGGAAGGGCUGUAGGUUCAUACCCUGAAGUUUUGACUUUACCAACAGAAUCAGCACCGGCGAACUCUGUGCCAGAAGCCGCGGUAAUACAGAGGGUGCAAGCGUUAAUCGGAAUUACUGGGCGUAAAGCGCGCGUAGGUGGUUCAGUAAGAUGGGUGUGAAAUCCCCGGGCUUAACCUGGGAACUGCUUUCAUAACUGCUGAGCUAGAGUACGGUAGAGGGUAGUGGAAUUUCCUGUGUAGCGGUGAAAUGCGUAGAUAUAGGAAGGAACACCAGUGGCGAAGGCGACUACCUGGACUGAUACUGACACUGAGGUGCGAAAGCGUGGGGAGCAAAC
rnacentral:rRNA from 1 species